AUUGAACGCUGGCGGCAUGCUUUACACAUGCAAGUCGAACGGUAACAAGUCUUCGGAUGCUGACGAGUGGCGAACGGGUGAGUAAUGCAUCGGAACGUGCCCAGUCGUGGGGGAUAACGCAGCGAAAGCUGCGCUAAUACCGCAUACGAUCUAUGGAUGAAAGCGGGGGACCGUAAGGCCUCGCGCGAUUGGAGCGGCCGAUGUCAGAUUAGGUAGUUGGUGGGGUAAAGGCCCACCAAGCCAACGAUCUGUAGCUGGUCUGAGAGGACGACCAGCCACACUGGGACUGAGACACGGCCCAGACUCCUACGGGAGGCAGCAGUGGGGAAUUUUGGACAAUGGGCGCAAGCCUGAUCCAGCAAUGCCGCGUGCAGGAAGAAGGCCUUCGGGUUGUAAACUGCUUUUGUACGGAACGAAACGGCUCUCUCUAAUACAGGGGGCUAAUGACGGUACCGUAAGAAUAAGCACCGGCUAACUACGUGCCAGCCGCCGCAGUAA
rnacentral:rRNA from 1 species